UAGGGAACCUUCCACAAUGGACGCAAGUCUGAUGGAGCAACGCCGCGUGAGUGAAGAAGGUUUUCGGACCGUAAAGCUCUGUUGUUGGUGAAGAAGGAUAGAGGUAGUAACUGGCCUUUAUUUGACGGUAAUCAACCAGAAAGUCACGGCUAACUACGUGCCAGCAGCCGCGGUAAUACGUAGGUGGCAAGCGUUGUCCGGAUUUAUUGGGCGUAAAGCGAGCGCAGGCGGAAGAAUAAGUCUGAUGUGAAAGCCCUCGGCUUAACCGAGGAAUUGCAUCGGAAACUGUUUUCUUGAGUGCAGAAGAGGAGAGUAGAACUCCAUGUGUAGCGGUGGAAUGCGUAGAUAUAUGGAAGAAUACCAGUGGCGAAGGCGGCUCUCUGGUCUGCAACUGACGCUGAGGCUCGAAAGCAUGGGUAGCGAACAGGAUUAGAUACCCUGGUAGUCCAUGCCGUAAAACGAUGAGUGCUAAGUGUUGGGAGGCUUCCGCCUCUCAGUGCUGCAGCUAACGCAUUAAGCACUCCGCCUGGGGGAGUACGACCGCAAGGUUGAAAC
rnacentral:rRNA from 1 species